rnacentral:rRNA from 1 species
GGCGUAGGGUCCAAGCGUUGUCCGGAUUUACUGGGCGUAAAGAGCGCGCAGGCGGUCGUUCAAGUCGAGUGUGAAAGCCCCCGGCUCAACUGGGGAGGGUCACUCGAUACUGAUCGACUUGAAGGCAGGAGAGGGAAGCGGAAUUCCCGGUGUAGUGGUGAAAUGCGUAGAUAUCGGGAGGAACACCAGUGGCGAAGGCGGCUUCCUGGCCUGUUCUUGACGCUGAGGCGCGAAAGCUAGGGGAGCAAACGGG